rnacentral:rRNA from 1 species
AGAGUUUGAUCCUGGCUCAGAUUGAACGCUGGCGGCAUGCCUUACACAUGCAAGUCGAACGGUAACAGCACUUCGGUGGCUGACGAGUGGCGAACGGGUGAGUAAUACAUCGGAACGUGCCCGAGAGUGGGGGAUAACGCAGCGAAAGCUGUGCUAAUACCGCAUACGAUCUACGGAUGAAAGCAGGGGACCGCAAGGCCUUGCGCUCAUGGAGCGGCCGAUGGCAGAUUAGGUAGUUGGUGGGAUAAAAGCUUACCAAGCCGACGAUCUGUAGCUGGUCUGAGAGGACGACCAGCCACACUGGGACUGAGACACGGCCCAGACUCCUACGGGAGGCAGCAGUGGGGAAUUUUGGACAAUGGGCGAAAGCCUGAUCCAGCCAUGCCGCGUGCAGGAUGAAGGCCUUCGGG